rnacentral:rRNA from 1 species
GAUGAACGCUGGCGGCGUGCCUAACACAUGCAAGUCGAGCGAUUCUCUUCGGAGAAGAGCGGCGGACGGGUGAGUAACGCGUGGGUAACCUGCCCUGUACACACGGAUAACAUACCGAAAGGUAUGCUAACACGGGAUAAUAUGAGAGAGUCGCAUGGCUUUCUUAUCAAAGCUCCGGCGGUACAGGAUGGACCCGCGUAUGAUUAGCUAGUUGGUGAGGUAAUGGCUUACCAAGGCGACGAUCAGUAGCCGACCUGAGAGGGUGAUCGGCCACAUUGGAACUGAGACACGGUCCAAACUCCUACGGGAGGCAGCAGUGGGGAAUAUUGCACAAUGGGCGAAAGCCUGAUGCAGCAACGCCGCGUGAGCGAUGAAGGCCUUCGGGUCGUAAAGCUCUGUCCUCAAGGAAGAUAAUGACGGUACUUGGGGAGGAAGCCCCGGCUAACUACGUGCCAGCAGCCGCCGUAAUAC